AACGAUCUUGAUCAGGACUGCUUCAUUCUAUGCCAGAGAUAUACAGCUUCCUUCAAGCAUAAAAGUAAAUGUCAUUUGUCCUCACAGUCCCAUAUUAAGACCCAUCUAGCACCUCAGUCCUUUCUUGAAAGGAGGCCUGUGAUUCCCAGAAGUUCACUAGAUGACAGCAUAUGAGGUACAUCACUGCCAAUUUUGACAUGCUGGUUUCAACAAAAAAAAAUGGAAAGUAUUGUUUCAAGAGACUAAAUCCUGAGAGGAAGCAACAGAAGGAAAUGUGUUUCAGAGCACCCAUUUUGGACUAUAGUGAACUAAGCACAAGUAGUCAUACUUCUGAACAAUAAGAUGUUAUUUCUUUGGCCUUACUGACCUUCUCCUCUUGGUCUGCUUGAGCACUUCUGGUUUCAACAGUCAGCACUACCAAGAUACGAAGCAGAGGAAGUAUAUUUGCUAGUCAUGGCACCUACUCCUGAAAGACGCCAGCAGCAGUUGUUGGCUGUAGUUACAGCUUUAUCUAAGGAUGUGUCACAUAUUUAGGCUGUUAUGUGAUCUUUCUUUGCUGCUUUCCCUUCCUAAAAGCUUUCUCCAUUCUCUUAACUUCUAUAAUUUUUUCACAUUUGUGAAUUAGGUGCCGAGUGACUUGCUUAUAAAAUAGCUACAUAGGCUGUUUUACAACUCCAGAGGGGAGCCAGGGCUCUCUUCACAUUAGCAUGCUUUAUGCCUCUAAGCAGGCAAG
rnacentral:lncRNA from 1 species